UUUUAGGAGUAUGAAUUAGAUGGAAUUGAUUGGACAAAAGUAGAUUUUGAAGACAACCAAGAGUGUUUGGAUCUCUUUGAGAAGUGCACAUCAUCCAAUAGUGAUUUCCCUAUAAGCCAUGCUAGUCAACUUUCAAAUCCGUUCCUUAGUUUGCCGCUUGAAUUUGGAAAAUGUGAAUCAUGUGGUGCUGCGGAACCCGGGACAUGCGAAGGUAUUUUUCAUGUUUUAAUCCUUUUUAUUUUCUGAUUACACUGAGAAGUUUGAAUGGUCAUGACCGCUGGACACAUUGAAGUAUUGCUAAAGUUUUGUUCAUUUUUUUACCUUUCAAGUCACUUUGGGUAUAUAGAAUUACCAAUUCCAGUAUAUCAUCCUUCCCAUGCGAGCGAACUAAAGCGGUUGUUGAGCCUGGUUUGCUUUAAGUGCUUGAAGUUGAGAAGUGGGAAGUUUAUGCAGAUGGAAGUAUUUGUCUGGAUAUUCUACAAAAUCAGUGGAGUCCAAUAUAUGAUAUAGCUGCUAUACUGACAUCUACCCAGUCAUUGCUCUGUGAUCCAAACCCAAACCCAAACCCAAGCCCAAAUGCAGGUUUUCCCUUUUUCUCAUUUCAGUCAAUGCUCUGUGAUCCAAAUGCAAACUCGCCUGCAAAUUCAGAAGCAGCAUUGUUGUUUAGUGAGAACAAGCGUGAAUACAACCGGAGGGUGCGUGAAAUUGUUGAGCAGAGCUGGACAGAAGACUAAAUCUCUCUUGCUUUGGGUGCUAUAGGACGUAAUUAAGCUGCUUCAAAUCACUAAUCUUCCUCGUUGUAGGUGGCUGGUCUGAUUUUCUCUGGUGUUUGUGUAUCAUUGCUGUAUUAAUUACAAAUGUAAUAG